rnacentral:rRNA from 1 species
UACGUAGGGGGCUAGCGUUGUCCGGAAUCAUUGGGCGUAAAGAGCGUGUAGGCGGCCCGGUAAGUCCGCUGUGAAAGUCGGGGGCUCAACCCUCGAAAGCCGGUGGAUACUGUCGGGCUAGAGUGCGGAAGGAGGCGAGUGGAAUUCCUGGUGUAGCGGUGAAAUGCGCAGAUAGUCAGGAGGAACACCAAUUGCGAAGGCAGCGUGCGCUGGGACGUAACUGACGCCUGAGA